UACGAAGGGAGCUAGCGUUGUUCGGAAUCACUGGGCGUAAAGCGCGCGCAGGCGGCUAUCCAAGUCAGUGGUGAAAGCCCGGAGCUCAACUCCGGAACUGCCAUUGAAACUGUUUAGCUUGAGGACGAGAGAGGUGAGUGGAAUUCCCAGUGUAGAGGUGAAAUUCGUAGAUAUUCGGAAGAACACCAGUGGCGAAGGCGACUCACUGGACAUGUAUUGACGCUGAGGUGCGAAAGCGUGGGGAGCAAACAGG
rnacentral:rRNA from 1 species